UAGAUCCAGCAUCUCCACUUCAGUACCGCCAUUGCUGAAAUGCCACCUCUGCUGGAGUAUAACAGGAUAUGCUUGGUCCCUACUGCACUGAAUUCAGCCCCACAAAGUCUGAGAGGAAGUGAACCACAAGCCCAUCCAAGCCCACCCAGAACAGAAGAAAUUCCAUCAGUCCACUUCUGUUUCUCCCCACUUGUGGUAGCUUGCUCUGUGGUGAGCCACCAGCCUGCUCUGCCUCUGACAGAUGACCCAUGGUGGCAUGUGCUGGUGCCCAUGCAAAUGUCAGCACCAGCCCUGUCAUCAGCUAAAGGAGGGCUCACACCUGCCAUGAGGAGACAGAUGGGAGAAUACCCGGAUUGGUCAGGAGGCAGAGGAGAUCACAACCUUCUAUGCAUAAAACAACCCCAUGCAAGUGGAAAGACAUCAGUGACUUCUUAAAUUCUUCCUUUAUCUGUGCCAUUUUGCCAUUGCCCCCCAAACCUAGACCAGUUUGAAUCAUCCAGCUACACUUCAGGAGAAAAAAGAAUCUCUACAGUGCUAGAAAAUAGUGUAACACUGGCCAGAAAAUUACAUGCAAUGUUGAAGACCAGUGUUGUGCUUCUCUGUGUGGAAAAAACAAACAACAACACAAAACAAGCACAAAAACUUUCAUGGCUGGCUUCUUUCAGUGUGCCAAGCUAUGCCCAUGAUUUCUUCAGACCAGGUAUGGGCUAAGAG